rnacentral:rRNA from 1 species
UACGUAGGGAGCAAGCGUUAUCCGGAUUUAUUGGGUGUAAAGGGUGCGUAGACGGGAAAUUAAGUUAGUUGUGAAAUCCCUCGGCUCAACUGAGGAACUGCAACUAAAACUGAUUUUCUUGAGUGCUGGAGAGGAAAGUAGAAUUCCUAGUGUAGCGGUGAAAUGCGUAGAUAUUAGGAGGAACACCAGUGGCGAAGGCGACUUUCUGGACAGUAACUGACGUUGAGGCACGAAAGUGUGGGGAGCAAACAGG